rnacentral:rRNA from 1 species
AGCAGCCGCGGUAAUUCCAGCUCCAAUAGCGUAUAUUAAAGUUGUUGCAGUUAAAAAGCUCGUAGUUGAAUUUCGGGGUCAGUAGAUUGGUCGUGCCACUGGUAUGCACUGGUCUUACUGGCUCCUCCUUCCUGAUGAACCGUAAUGCCAUUAAUUUGGUGUUGCGGGGAGACUGGACUGUUACUUUGAAAAAUUGAGUGUUUAAAGCAGGCUAACGCUUGAAUACAUUAGCAUGGAAUAAUGAAAUAGGACGUUCGAUCUUAUUUUGUUGGUUUCUAAGAUUGACGUAAUGAUUAAUAGGGAUAGUUGGGGGCAUUAGUAUUCAAUUGUCAGAGGUGAAAUUCUUGGAUUUAUUGAAGACUAACUACUGCGAAAGCAUUUGCCAAGGAUGUUUUCAUUAAUCAAGAACGAAAGUUAGGGGAUCGAAGACGAUCAGAUACCGUCGUAGUCUUAACCAUAAACUAUACC